CCUACGGGAGGCAGCAGUGAGGAAUAUUGGUCAAUGGGAGAGAUCCUGAACCAGCCAAGCCGCGUGAGGGAAGACGGCCCUAUGGGUUGUAACCCUCUUUUGUCGGAGAACAAAACCCGGGACGAGUCCCGGACUGCGUGUAUCCGAAGAAAAAGCAUCGGCUAACUCCGUGCCAGCAGCCGCGGUAAUACGGAGGAUGCGAGCGUUAUCCGGUUUUAUUGGGUUAAAAGGGUGCGUAGGCGGUCUGUUAAGUCAGCGGUAAAAUUGCGGGGCUCAACCCCGUCGAGCCGUUGAAACUGGCAGGCUUGAGUUGGCGAGAAGUACGCGGAAUGCGCGGUGUAGCGGUGAAAUGCGUAGAUAUCGCGCAGAACUCCGAUUGCGAAGGCAGCGUACCGGCGCCAGACUGACGCUGAGGCACGAAAGCGUGGGGAUCGAACAGGAUUAGAUACCCCGGUAGUC
rnacentral:rRNA from 1 species